UAUAAUAAUCUUCAAAAAGUUUUAUUAAAUAAAGCAAUAUGAAUGUGAAUAUGAAUAUGAAGCGUAAAAAUGGAAAAAUAGACAAAUACUUUGAAGGUAUUAUGAAACGAACGCACACCGGUAGUGUGGGAUGGGUCGAUGCAGCGCCGGCGCUGCAGAACAUAACCAAGAAGACGAAUAUCCCCACCAAUUCUCUUUAUCGUCGAAACGAUCGCGUCGACGUGUACCCACUUCUCCAUCCAUCUCACGAAACAGAGUGAGAAGAAAACAAUCUCUCUAUCUCUAUCUCUUGUUCUCUUUCCUUCUUACUUUUCAUCUUUGCCUCUUGUCACACGAAUACAGCUCCGCAGAACACUAUACGAAGCACCUCGAACCAGUGUAGAACGGUUUGUAACAAAGUAGAGCCGUUUUCGCGUUUACCUCCUCGUGGGGAAUUAGGAAUUGAAUAAAAUUCACGCAGUGAUGAAGUACUCGCCGCAACAGCAGCAGCAGCAGCAAAAGGAAAGGAAGUCGGAGAGCGACGUUUGCUCGAUUGGCGC